GACGAACGCUGGCGGCGUGCUUAACACAUGCCAGUCGAACGGAAAGGCCCUGCUUUUGUGGGGUGCUCGAGUGGCGAACGGGUGAGUAACACGUGAGUAACCUGCCCUUGACUUUGGGAUAACUUCAGGAAACUGGGGCUAAUACCGGAUAGGAGCUCCUGCUGCAUGGUGGGGGUUGGAAAGUUUCGGCGGUUGGGGAUGGACUCGCGGCUUAUCAGCUUGUUGGUGGGGUAGUGGCUUACCAAGGCUUUGACGGGUAGCCGGCCUGAGAGGGUGACCGGCCACAUGGGGACUGAGAUACGGCCCAGACUCCUACGGGAGGCAGCAGUGGGGAAUAUUGCACAAUGGGCGGAAGCCUGAUGCAGCAACGCCGCGUGCGGGAUGACGGCCUUCGGGUUGUAAACCGCUUUCGCCUGUGACGAAGCGUGAGUGACGGUAAUGGGUAAAGAAGCACCGGCUAACUACAUG
rnacentral:rRNA from 1 species